UGCCCGUUACCUAUCUGUUUCUUCUACUCUCGGCUAUCCCCAAUGAAAACACAACCGCAAAUCGCUAGGGUUCACCAUUCCCCGUCGUCACCGCUACCCGUCCCAACCUCGGCCACUAGUGCCUCGACCGUCGCCGGCCGACGAAUCGGAGGCGGUGCGGCCGUAAUCUCCCUUUCCUGGAGCGCAGAGGCGCAGCCACCUCGUCUACUGCAUCCUCCACCGGCCACUCCCUAUCACUGGACCGCCUCCACCCGCCCCAACCCCGGCCACCGUCCACUCGGAUCUCAGUCGUUGCUGCGGUAACCUCCUUCGCCUAUUUCCAUCUGUCCUCUGUCCGUCCCUCCCCCUCCCCUUCUGCCAGUGUCCGAUGCCUGCCUGCUCUAUUUCUGUGUGUGUUAGUGCAGGAGUGCUCUGCGUUCUUGUAUGCAUACUAUGCGUGCAUGGUGGUCGUGCUCUGUGCGUGUGAUGCAUGCGUGUGUUGCCUGACUACUGCUAUUUCAUCUAGUACUAGUGGACUGCUACUAUUUCCGCUGAUUUGCAAAAUGAUGUUGAUACUAGCAAGUCAUCUGCUAUUUUGGUACUGAUCUAUAAUUGCCAACUGUACUGGAACUAGUGGUGACUGCUCCAUUUUAGUACUAGUGGCUGCUAUUGCUAUUGUCAUUUUUUAUAUGAAUUUGCAAAUUGAUACUUGGCUGUAGUUUGCAUAUGUAUUGCUAUUGUUACUGUGAAUUUAAACAUAGGACUAUUGUGUAUGUUCAGUGUGAUUAAAUGAUGGUUUGUGGUACUAACUAUUGGUUUUUCCCUUGUAUUUGUAUGUACAAAAAUGAGCACAACCACUAACAGCAGCAAUGGUACAACUUGUUCAAGUGAGAGUGGAAGUGAAUGUGAGGUUGAAUCUGACAUAAAGAAGAUGGAGCUCGGGAAGAAAAAGCUUCAGCAAUACAUGUAUGUUGCAUUUGUGGUCGCCAUGCACAAUCAAAAGUAUCUUAUGAAGAAAGAAAGGAGAGAGGUAAGAUGCACAGGACAACAGUGGGGAUAUGAUUGCUUGGGUUCUUUGAAAGAUUGCUACAUGAUGUUUCGUAUGCAUAGGCCAUGUUUUGACUUAUUACAUGAGACUUUGGUACACAACUAUGGUUUGCGAGCAACAUGCAACAUGUGUUCCGAGGAGGCUCUAUGGAUGUUCUUGUGGACUAUUGGUAGCCCACAAUCAGUGAGCCAAGUUUAGAACCGAUUCAAGAGGUCCACCGAAAAUUCAACCAUGUGUUGAGGUGUUUGAUGUUAUUAGCUGCAGAUAUGAUUGCACCAACUGAUCCAGAAUUUAGAAGUGUGCAUGAGAGACUGCAAGACCCUAAGUUUUUUCCUCACUUCAAUGGUUGCAUUGGUGCUAUUGAUGGGACACACAUACCUGUCACUGUGCCAGCUAAAGACAUGAUUAACCAUUGCGGUUGACAUGAAUAUUCAUCACAAAAUGUGAUGGCCGUAUGUGACUUUGACAUGAGAUACACUUCUGUAGUGGCUGGAUGGCCUGGUUCGGCACAUGACACAAGGAUAUUCAAGGACAAAAUGGAUAAGUACAAAGAAAAGUUUCCUCAUCCUCUGACAGGAAAACACUAUCUUGUUGAUUCUGGAUACCCCAAUUAGGUUGGUUAUCUAGCACCAUUUAGAGGAACAAAAUACCAUCUACCUGAGUUUCGUAUGGGCCCUGCUGCAACCGGUAGGGAAGAAGUAUUCAACUAUCUUCAUUCAUCACUCAGAAAUGUCAUAGAACGCUCAUUUGCUAUGUUGAAACAAAAAUGGCGCAUUCUAAAACAUUUGCCUAGCUACUCACCUAGUAAGCAAGCAAGGAUUAUCAUCGCUUGUAUGGCACUGCACAACUUCAUCAGAGAUAGUGAUUUGUAUGAUUAUCACUUUGCUAGAUGCAGUGAUGAUGACAACUACUAUCCUCCGGGCCAUGUGGUCAACACAACUGGAGGGAACUAUACGAGAGGUGCAAAUACUACCAUGGACACAACUCGUAACAUGAUUGUUGAUUUUGUGCUGGCAGCGAGAGAGUAGGGUCGUGAGCUUCACCAUAACCAUGUACUUAUUUUGUAACCGAAAGACGGUCUCAUGUAUAUAUAAUUAAUACCAUAUGUUAUGAUGA